AUGACCUAGUGGUGAAUAAAAACGAACAUCUUAAGCAAUUCAAUCAUGUAAUGAAAUCCAAAAUUUAAGCAAUAACAGAAAAUUGAAAAUGAGACUCUGUAUGAACAUUACAGUAUUGCAGCAGAUCUCACCGAAGUGUCCAAAGUUCAGCGACUACAUCGCAACCCAGUUUUCACUUGCUAUCUUUCAACUUCUGUAUUCAAUUUUCAAUGAAAUGGCAUGAUUUUGGUUUCUAGAAUACUCAUUUUGAUUUAAGCAUGAUUAAUGCAUAUCCACUUUGGGAUGGCUUUAUAAAAAGUACAUGUGGGAGAAAGUUGUUUUCCACACAUUAAACUUACCAGAGGAAAAGAGUAUGCUAUUUCCCUUAACUAGUAAAGCUUAAGAGUGUUGGAGCCAAAUUUGCAUCUCAAUGCGUAUAUUUAGUGUUACAGGUUUAUUUUAUGUUUACUAACAGAAUCCUUAAGACAUAGUAAUAUGUAUACUCAAAACUGGGGAAAUAAAAUAUAGGAGACACAUUAGAAUAGAGCAGAUAAUUUGGAAUUAAUUUUUACAAUAUGCCUACUUCACUAUUUUGGAAACAGCCUUUUAGAGAAACCAUAAUGGGAGUAUUUGGGAGAAUAUUCCAUCCUCAGAAAUCGGGUGCCUUUUAAGUAGGCAAUGUAAUUCAUACCAUAUCACUUAGGGCAAUGCCUAAGUAAAGGAAAAGUUAGUCUCCUGAUUACUGUAUAUCACAUAGGAACCCCCAAAGGAUACUGCAGAAGUAAUUAACGUCUCUGCCCAAUCAGCUUUAAGUUACUCAAAGGUAGAUUUUCCUGGGAGUGGAAACACUUUAUUUUAGAUAUUGUUACUUACUUCUGCCAAAUUUGUUUUCUUUUAUAACUUGUAUCUCUUUUUUUAAAUUAAGUUUAAUUAUUUAUUCACUUUACAACCCAGAAUUAGUCCUUCCUCUCCUCCCAGUGUUUUACUCAUAUACAUAUUUAUGAACCUAUUUGUUCGUUACUUUUGUUAUUAGUCUGGUUAUAUUUAGUACAAUUAACCUCCAAACUUAUCGUAGUAAAUUCAACUCUGAGAUAGUUUCAUUAAUAAACUUUGCUUUUAUUUCUACAUUGCCAUACUUUAUAUUUCAUACUUUUCAUUUUCUUUGUUUAUUUUGUCUUUUCUUAUUGAAAACUGAAUGCUGAAUGUAUAAAAACAAAACAAACAAAAAAAAAACCUCAAAAGCAGACUUCCUCCCUUCUCCAGGGCUCACUACUCAGUUUGGGUUAUGUUACUUUGUUUAUUUGUUUGUUUGUUUGUUUUUCAUUCAUUAUUAUCCAGCCUGUCAAAAGAAGUAGUUUGAAUGAUGGUAUCUGCUAUAGUCUCAGACAUUAAAUUUUGGUCCCCUGUUGGUGGUACUGUUCUGGUGAGUUUAGAAGAUGUUGCCUUGCAAGAGGAAAUAUGUCGUUUGAACAUACUCAAGAAUGCUUCUCAAAUAUUCCAAUGGUUAUUUACCCAUCACUUUUACAAGUCUUUGACCAAUGUUGAAUUGACCAAUGUUGGGGUACACUUUAAAUUAAGACUUUAUAAAACUUCCCCUUCAUUAAUGCCUUUUACUAAACAAAGAUUAGACAAUGUUGAAAGCUUAAUAUCACUGAGUCUGAUUUCAUUUAUAAACUGCUGAAUAAAGGAAGGUCCAGGAUUUUCAAAUAUUACUCUGGCUUACCCUCUUAACUUUUUAUAUUCUCUGUCUUGAUCUACAAUAGUCUUGGCCCUGAUUGCUACACACAAUUCAAUAUUAUUAAAUUUAGAGUCAGCCUGAAGUUUUGUAUCCUGGAUGAUUCCAGAUUACGUUAAAGAAAUAGAGCACUUUGUAUCAGUCAGUAAAAUAGCUCACAGACACCUUAGAACAGACAAUGAUUUUAAUUUUUUACAAUUUAUACAAAAGUGAAAUAGCAUGAUGAACUGAUAUAAAUGUAUAUAGUCAAAUGGUUUCUGCAAUGAUGGGUACUGUCACAUCCUUCUCAGUUCUCACCCUGUUGUGUCUCACCCUGUUGUGAUGAACUAUUUUGAGAAAAGCAACUCAGGAGAAAAUGAUUAUUCUGGCCCACAGUUUAAAUAUACCCUCACUCAUGGAAAGGGAGUCAAAGCAACAGGGUAUUGAAUCAGUUUUUAACAUAACAUUAAACUUUAUAAAGCAGAGAGUGAUGAGUCAAACACCCCAUCUGGAAAGAGUACCUGAGAGAGAGGGGCAUUUUCCUGUCUUUAUUAACAUAAUAAUGAUAAAUCCUCUCUGCCCAUCUGCCAAGUGAUUUUAGAUUUUCCAAGUUGACAAUUAACACUAACAGCUGAAAUAUAACCCAUAGCCCAUAAAUGUGCACUUCUUAUAUUCCUGUUGUCCAUUCAGUGUUUUCUUGGAUUGCCUCAGGUAUGACAUGUGGAAAUGAGUUAGGUAGUGCUAUUAUUCCACACAGCCCAGGUAUGCUAAGUCAACAAUAAAACAAAAUAUACCAAACAGUCAGGAGAACAAUCUUGGCCAUGCUGGUGCAUGGGAGAAAAGCAAGCUAUAGUUUAAAGGGGGGGGUGUCACAGCUGAGGAUUAUGCAUCAAAGGGAUCUGAACAACCAAAGAAAUGGAUGUUGGGGAUCACCUCAGCUGUUGAUUGACCUACAUAACAAAACGUAGCAAAAAGUUAUGGAGAAGUAAUGAAUGAAACAAAAAUUGUACUAUCUGCAGAUCACUUAGGAACUGGAGAAAGUACCUGGACCUGUACAUCAAACUACAGGACAGUAAGAAGCCAAUCAAACCUGGAAGGACAAAUAUAAUGCCUUAUAGAUCACUAUUCCUGUAAUAGAGGAUAAACUGAGGAAAAUGUCCAAGAAGAAACAAAGCUUGCCACCAGGUAGAUGGUUGAGAAGCUCCAGGAUUCCAAUCAUCUCAUCAUAAGAAGAUUCUAGGCCUAGUGGACCUCAAAUCAAGCACAGCUACAUAGUAUAGUUAGAGUAAAAAAGAAACCGCUGACUGUUGAAUGACAGGAUGGCAGUGGUCAUGAUGGGAGAGGUGUGAGAACACAUAGAGGGGCCUUUUCUCUGAAAGUCAACACCACAGCUGCCAACUGUCAAGGGACUCUAACAGCCUUUAGAUGCUCUGUCUCUUCAUUUCCUGUCUCGUAGGACAGUGUGGAUACUAGUUCUGCUUCAGGUAAAGACUUGAAAAUCCUUACUACAGUCUUGUGUGUCUUUAAUCCACAUGGUGAGAAUUCAAAGUAAUUCAAGAAGUUCUCUUCAGGCCCCUGGUUAUCGGACACUGGAGGCACGGGCUGAAGGUUAAGCUGUGGAAAACAUGUGGAGACAAAUGCAAAUUCAAGGGUUCCCUGUCUGCCAGUCAGGCUGGAAUUAGAAGCAUUGAAUUUAAUAGUGCUAGAGCCUACUUCUUUGUAGCUUCAAAUUAUUUUACAAACCGAAUUUGGAUUGUCAAUGAUUACUAAUUGUAGCACACAUCCACAGGAUAUAUUGGAAGAUGCUCUGGCCUAAGUUAUUAUGAAAACUUUAUAAAUGGUCUCAAGAAGUCAUAAAAAGGUCCACCAACUUUGGGAUCAAUGUAGUGAGUCUGAAUGAGAAGAAUACAUUCAGGAUCCAGGUACAAUGAUAUUGUCUGCACCACGCAAUGUGUCAUGAAUGCAUACAUUGGCCAAAAAAAUCAUUUGUAGGUUAUAUGAUUAGAAAGUAAGGUUAGGGAAUGUGUUAUUGUGGAUGGCCACUGCUCUGGACAUAAACUCAGAGAGAAAUCCUGUCCUAACCCACUCCCUUGGUUACAUACUCAGUCCUCGAUACCUCAACAAAUUCUGUCAGCCAAGUAGACAUUCAGUAUUCCUUGAUCCAAAUCUAUUUCUGACUAGAGCAGAAUUGUCUUCAGGCCUGAUGAUAGUUAUGUGCCGUCAGGCUCAGUUUCUGGUUCUGUGUUUGUGUAGAGUAUGCUUUGAAGUAAGGAGGAGAAUGUUCUUUCAAAACAAUACCACGCUUUCAUCAAAAUGGUGGAGUCAGAUGUGGUAUCUAGCCUGGAUGUAAUCAGUAUGAACAAUAUCUUAGUUAGGCUUUCUAUCUCUGCUAUGCAUACCGUUACCAAAUAGUCAGGGAAGAAAGGGUUUAUUGAGCUUAUGUUACCACAUAGUUGUCCAUUAAUGAAGGAAUGCCAGGGCAGAAACUCAAACAGGGCAGUAACCUGAAGGCUGGAGCUGAUGGUUAGGCCUUUAAGAAGUGCUCCUUAUUGGCCUGCUCAUCCACUUUUUUGUAGAAUCCAGCCAACAUCAGACACACAUGGUUGGCACCAUCCAAACUAAGCUAUACCCUCCCCCAUGACUCACUAAUUAAGAAAAUGCCUUAUAGUUGGAUCUUUUUUUUUCAGCAAUACUUCUGCCAUUUUUUAUUUUUUAUUUUUUUACCAUAAAUUUUUAAUGUAAACUGCUACGUAGGAGAACAGAAAGACUAUAGAAUACUAUUUCCUUGCCAAGGUAUUUUUUUCAUCUUUAUUAACUUGGGUAUUAAUUAUUUACAUUUCAAUUGUUAUUCCCUUUCCCGGUUUCCAGGUCAACAUUCCCCUAACCCUUCCCUCUCCCCUUCUCUAUUGGUGUUCCCCUCCCCAUCCUCCCCUGCUCUUAUAUAGGCAUUUUCCCAACUGAAGUUCCCUCUUUUCAAGGUAACUCUAGCUUGUACCAAGUUGGCUUCAGACUAGCCUGUACAAUUGACUACUUGAUAAUUUGACACACAAAGACAUUACUUCAUCAAAGACACAACUAUUACUUUCUUACUCACUCCCAUGUUCUCACAUUAAAAGCCUAAACAUCUUGAAAAGUCCCACAGAUUUUACAAAUUAAAACAUUAAAAUUUCAGUCCCUUUAAAAUAGCCAAUCUCUUUUCAAAAAUAUAAAGUCUUUUAAAAUGCAAACUUUCUCUACAGUGGGCUCUAGUAACAUAAAAAAAUAAUUAAAUUCAUUUUCACUUCAAGAGGGAAGAACCAGGCAACAAUCAUAGUCAAAUCAAAGUAAAACCAAACUCCUAACCACUCAUGAUCUCCUGGACUCUUCCAAAGGGUUUGGGUCACUUCUCCAGCACAGACACACACACACACACACACACACACACACACACACACACACACGCACACGCACGCAUGCACGCACGCACACACACGCACGCACGCACGCACGCACACACACACACACACACACAGAGUCACAGAGUCUCUAGACUACUGAUUACUGAUGGCUCCACUUGACUGAUACUGCUAACUUUAGUGGUCAACUCAUGGCACUGGCAUCUCCAAACCACUGGACUUUUCUGCCUUUUCUGCUACAACUAGGGUCAACUUCCACCAGUAGCAUCUACUAGGGUCUCUUCAUGAUGCCAAGUCUCAACUUCACUGUAUAACCCCAUCAUUCCUGAGCCUUCAACUGCCACUGAAACUGCACUGCCAAUCUCUCUUAGUUUCUCACAAUACCAAGUCCACCUGCUCUCCAUGUCCUCUUCAUGCCUUCAAAACAAGUUUCACCUGAAUGACUCUCAUAACACCAUGUCUGACUCCCAGUGUAAAGUACAACUUUGGUCACUUCUGGUACACAGCUUCUAUGUGAUAACAGGAAAGACUUCCCAGAAGAUUUUGCCUUAGUGGUUCUGGUCUCUUCUUAAUCUGUGCUAAAUUUUAAGCUCUAAACAAUCACCACUGAGAAUCCCAGCGAAGCAAAGGUUUUACUUUAGUAGUGAUAGUACCUUGUUAAUUACAACUCAUUCUUCUGUUCAAGCUAAACAGAACCAUAGAAUUUAUAAUCAAAAGAGCAAAUGGCCUGGAUAGAAUCUUUGCACUUUGGGUCUUCAGAAGCCAGGCCUCCAUUCUCUGGAUUGCUCUCAACUUUCUUAUCUUCCAAGUUCCCAUAAAUCAUCACACUGAAGUGUGAAUGCUCAGGAUUUUCAACCCCAAAUUUCCAAAGUCCUUCUUCAGUCUUCCAGAAGAAUAGGGUCAAGCCGAUUUAAGCAACAACCAACUUCCCUGGUAGUGACUUAUCUUAGGGUUUUUACUGCUGCUAUAAAACACCACGACAGGAAUGCCAGUUGGGGAGGAAAGGAUUUAGUUUUGACCUAUAUCAUUUUAGUCCAUCACUGAAGGAAGUCAGACGAAAAGUCAGAGUAGGUGAAUAUGAAGACAGAAAUUGAUGCAGAGGCUGUGGAGUUGCUUCUUACUGGCUUGCUCCCAUAAUUACUCAGCCUGAUUCUUAUAGAACCCAGAAUUAUGAGUCCUGGGAUGGUACCACCCAUAUUGGGCUAACUAAAUGCCUUACAGGUGGAUUUUGUAGAGGCAUUUUUUUUUAAGUUGAUGUUCCUGCCUUUCAUGUAACUCUAGCUUGUAUUAAGUUGACAUAAGUCUAGCAGACACAUAGAAAGAGGAUGAUGUUGCCCUGGGAACAACAUUAAUAAGAACAUAAUUAGAGAACAGCCUUGUCUUGGCAAGUGAUGUGUUCUGCAAGAAACGAGCUAAUGAAAAUUGGUUGCAUCAUCUGCUGGAGGAUUUUGAUUUGAUAUCUCUAAUUGGCUUGAUUCUCAUGUCUUCUAGAAGAGGAUUAUAUUCUUGUCCCUAUUCAGGUGGAAAACACCUCUGCUUCUUUAUAGAUCUUCAGGAAUCACUCCCUGUUGGCUCUCCUAACUGGACAACAUCACAUAUAGGGAAUUAGUUCACAUGUGCUUCUUUUCUCCUUGAAAUAUCUGUUUUCAUCUGGUAUACUUGCCUUUUAUGUGGAUCCAUUCAUCCAGGAUACUCACUGGAAGUAUUGGGUGUGUAGAAACUAAAUUUAGGGCUUUUCUAACAUGCAAGAUUGGCUGGGGUGUUGCAGAAACUGUGAUCUUUCUUCAACUGGUCUUCAGUACCCCUAGCUUCAUUCCUUCCAGUCCUGCCACGAGUUCUUUCACUUAUUUCUUUUAUCCUUUUGUGAGAAAAGGAUAUGUGCCAACUUUUUCUUGUUGGGUAGAUUUGAUUCAGAGUUUAGAAACAUAUAUUUAUCUUGCAUCACUGAACACGCCCAGCAGAUGUGUGAGUACCACACUGUGCUAUUGGCAGGAUUGGAGAAGCUCAGAAGAUUUCUCUGGAGCUAUGUGGUGAGUCCAUCCACUGUGUCUGUGCUAAGCCAGCAGGCAGUGGCCUUUGUAUUCAGCGCAUGAAGCUCAGUCCAGGAACCAGAUUGUACUGUAUGCUAGGAAUAGCAUUAUCUUAACUAUGUCACUGUGUAUGUGAUCUGAGCUCUGUGAACCAGUGUCUGAAACCCCACAAUUUAACUACAUUUUUAUUAGUACUUUAGUUUUCCCUCUUUGUUUUGUACCCCAAUAGGUAAGGACAUGAGUUCUAGAGCCAGUGAAAUGCAAAGACUCAACCCUUCUUCUGAUUUUCUUCCUUGCCUAUGAGCUUCCUUUUGAGUUGCUUUCAUAGAAAUUGUGUUUUGAGAAGUUGAGUUUGAAGUUCAUGGCGCAUCUUUUAUUUAUUUUUUUAUUUACUUGCUUAUUUAUGAAAUAUAACAAAAUUAAAGCUAUAAAAUAAAAACCAUGUUACAUACUUUCACCAGAUCAUGAAACAAGAUAAGCAUUCUAUUUCAAAAUAGGGAAAUUUGGGGCAUGACAAGAAAUAAGGUGCACCAAAAUAAAAUGAAUUUUUUUUUUAAAAAAAAGGUGUUUCCAUCAUUAUCUAGGUACUAUGCAUAGCAUACUUUCAAAUUUUACUCCCUCACUGAACCAUAGUUUUAUCCACCUCUGCAUGUCCAUCUGUAGAAAAACACUGACCUUGGCAAUUGCUUUCUAUGAACAACGAACUCCUAUUGAAUUUUAUUUCAAAGAAAUUUGGAAUUUUAUUAGGUAGAGUGUACAAGGGUCUGGGUUAAGUGAUCAUUGUAUUAUCUCAGUGCAUCUCAUUUGGUUGCUCUUCAGUAUCCUGGAGCAUAAGUCUGGGUGUACUUUUUUCUUAAAAUUGCCUCUGUUAAACAUCUUAGUCCACUACAUUUAAUUCAGUUCUUCUUCAACUGUUAGGAUCAGAGAAAAGUUACACUAGAUUCCUGGACAAAAUAGCUUAAAUGGCUCAUAUGGGGAAAAGUGGAAUCAUGUCACCAGACAGAAAAACUGGUAAGGUCACCAAAAUCCUCUCCAGGAACACGUGACCACAGCACUCUACUAAGAGAAACAUGACAACCGGUUAUGUAGCUUAGCACUCAGAGUCCUGAAGGCUAAUGAGGUAUCUAAUAUGUCCCAAGAGCUUAGUCAAUAAACUUCCCUAUAGAGGAGUGGUUUUGAAGCUUGAAUUUAAUUGGGAAUCGAGUACUAUCACUGAAAGUCAUUGUCCCCAAUUGCUUCUUGAUCAAUUAAUAAAGAUGCCAAUGGCUAAUGACUGCGCAGAAAGGAAAAAAAAGGGGGGGAUGGGGCAGACUUCCAGGUUACCACAGGCUAGGAGAAAGGAGUAGGAGAAAGACAGAGAUACUUGGGGUCGGUCCCCAGCUCUGCAAAAAAGAGAAAAAAAGAAAAAAAAGAAGAAAAAAGAGAUACUUGAGGGAGAGACAGAACAGUGUCAGAGCUGCAGGCGAGAUCUUCCCAAAUGUAGAAUGAGAGGGAAAGAAGCACAUGGAUGGACAGUCAGAAAGCAUCUUGGGCAGCAAGACCCAUGGGCUUCACAGAAGGUAAGUGGGUAACUAGACAGAUUUAGAGAUGUUAAGCUAGGAGUAAAAGUAAGUGGGAAACUAAGCUGAGGGAAGAUUUAGCGGUGUUGAGCUAGGUAAAUGUAAGGGCACACUAGCCUCAGAAGGUUUAGAAGAGCCCAGUCAUAAAGCCAGUAAGACAGGAUAAAACUGAGCUAAUGUGUAUAUAUAGAUCUGAGAUAGCUCCUGGGUGAGUGCACACCUGCGUCUCAAAGCAGUGUAGCCAAAACCUUCCCAGACAUUCCUACCUGCAAAAAGUAUUUAAUCUCCAGUUUAUAGUGUAAUUUUCCACUAAUUAAUUAAAUAAUAAAUAUGACAAGAAGCCAAUUACUGGGUGAGGAGGAGGCAGACCUCCCAGGUCUGAGAGAGGAAGAGGGAAGGAGGAGAUGGGGACUUCUUUUUGGAAGGCAAAGCAGACAAGAUGUAGGUUGGGGACCAAUAGUUCUGGUGGAGGAAUCCAUCAGGAUCUGUCACUGGAAAAUUUCUAACAUACAAUAGUUGAUAAAUUUAGGAUGAUUGAGUUUGAGCCCCGAAACUAAGUUAUCUGUUGAUUCUAAACUAAAAUUGUCUGGUGUUUUCCAUUCUGAGGCGACACAGGUGGGCCAAAUUCUAGGCAGAAUUCAGCCAGGCUUUUGGAUGGGAAGAUUGGACAAGGACUGAGCUGCAGGUGAGAGAUAGUGAGCAGAGUGGGAUCUUGUGAGUGAGACCACACCCUCAGUUGGGAUCAAGAGAGCUAACUCAGAGCUCUGGAGAGGCCUUGGCAAAGGAAAAUUUGUGACCUCAGGCUAUGUUUCGGCCUGGUAACAGACUGAGACCACAGGCCCAUGCCUAUCCAGUAAUAGCAUGGGUUGUUUUUAAAUUAUUACAAGCAAUAUGUGGCACCCAACGUGUUAGGCAAGAAUCCACUGGAAAUUUAAGAUUCAUAGCCUCAGAGUUAGAGAUUCAGUUCUUAGUGAGCGAGGUUGAGAGGAGUCAGAGACUUGAGCGUGCACAAUCCUAAACAAAGAAGCAGGGAAAAAAAAUACAGACUGGUCUGAGGCAGAAAGCUUGAGGGUAAAAGCUGCCUGCUUCCAACAAGCAGGGAAUCACAGGACAGAAGUCUCAAGUUUAGUUUAUUUGUUUUUAAAGAUACAUUAAAAUACAGAUUUUGCCCAAGUUACCUGGGGAAUUUCACCCGUGGCUCAGAACUCGUACAGGGAAAAACAUGCUCACUGGCUCUGGGCAGAGAGCAGUGAUAAUUGCCUGCUAAUAAGCAGGUAUUAAUAAAAGUCUGAAGCUCCAGGCAGGUACCAUAACAGGUAGAAACUGCCUGCUUCCUAUAGGCAGAUUUUAGUGGAAGUUCAAUUUAUUUACUUUAAAGAGUGCAUAAUAAAGUCUGCAGGAUAUUCAUAUUCUCUGAACGUGGACUCCAUGGGAAUUUUGGGUUAAUGUCCUGGCAUGACAAAUUAGAAAAUGUCUAAGAAUAGGCUCCUACAGUAUUUGCUUAGUUUACUUCAUUUGUUUUGAAUUGUUUUAAUUAUCAAAAUGGGUGUGAUUUUGAGUUUUGUGGUUGUUUUAUUAUUCCUCUUGGAGAGAGGUCAAGAUAAAAGUUUUCUGGUUACUGGCUAAAGGACAUGCUAAUUUGAGAGAAAGGCUCUGUCUUUGUGUGUUUAGAAAAGGGGAUUGGAGUCUGCACAUCUUCCAGAGUUAUAGGGAUCAGAUUUGAUAGAGGAAGACUCCCUGAAGGACCAGAUUCAAGAGAAUCAAACAGAAGAAGUAAAGAUUCUUUUUGCCAUCCUUCACAUGGCACAAAUGAAGGCUUAUGGUUGGUUAUUAUUAAAAUGGUUUCAUAAAAAAAGACUGUUUUUCUCAAGCUCAGUAAAGAGCAAAAUUUCAUCCUGACUAGUCUGUCUAUGCAGACUAAUACAAUCCAUGCAGAUAUCUUGAUGAUACUUUAAGUUUUCUUUGAGAUUUGUAUAUUGCAGAAUGUAUAGCUUUGGUGAGAUUCAUCGUCAAACAAGCUGAACUGAUCUGCUUGAACUCUUGAUGUGCUGGAUCCAGUCAGAAAGCAAAUAUCAGAGACUAAUAACAAUUGCUGUCAUGGCCUUCUUAAGGCCUAACCAACUCCCACAUUUUCCCUAAACCUCCCUCUGUCCACUUCAAGAUAUCUAAAUUCCCAUAUUCAGCAGGAAGAAGUUUUGAAGAGUCGCCGUCCCCAUUCCCUGGGCUUGGGGCUCUAGUGGUGGUUAUUCUAAGGUCUUUCUUGGAAAUUUAGAAAUGUCACAAUUUAACAAGGAGGAUAUAGCUAGAAUUGAUUGUGUAGCCAUAAUGUCAUUUGGUAGAAAUCUGAAGUUAUAAUUUCUUACUUUGGUACAGAAUUUAUUUUGAUAUAGAAUUAAGGUUGGCAUUGGUAUAAUUUCAUCUAUUGGUAAAAAAUUUUAAGAAUACAAAGCUUAGAUCCAGUCCUUCUUUAACUGCCAUUACAAACUGAUUUUAGGAUGUUUUCAAGUUAUUUUGAUUAGAAGUAACUGAGAGUAGUUAACAGACUCACUAUGUAUUACUUUACAUAGAUAUAUAGUUUUCAAAAAUGUCAGAAGUCCACAGAAUGUGACAUAUAAUGGUAUUUACUCAUUUGUUGUUGAGCCACAUCUGCUCUGACAGCACCCUUUUCUUGGAUUCUAGGAAGACACUGAACAUCUCUGCUUCCUGGUGCGGUUAUACUCUAUGGCGAGGUAGCCCCUGGGCAGAAGUUGCCCAUCCAUCUGCAGACAAAUACUGUCCAGAAAAGAUACACACUAUGGGGAAGAGUCAACGGAUUAUCCGUGCCAAGAGAGGGCAGUCAAUCCUUUAUAAUUCUACAUUACAACCGUCUGUCAGAUGGUCCUCGGCCAAACAGUCACACUGAUGUUCCAACGUGGUGGGACACAGGGGACUAUAUAGGAUAUGAAGCCAAUUAUGACACAGUGUGUCCAUCAAACCAAAGAGGAACAGAGGAUUAUGGGUAAAGCACGAUACUGAACACAGCACGAUAAGUAGAUAAAUGGGUAUAUGACAGAAGAAAGAUUGCGAUGAAUUUUAGGUAUAACGUGUGUUCACUGUUUUGCUGCCUUUUCCUUUGUUAGCCAUGAUGUCUACUAAUAAAUUCAAAGUGGAUGGUUACAAACAGAUUUGGGGGAAACAGGAAAGAAAUCUUCUGCUCGAAUAAAAUACUAUAUUCAAUGUUACCUUUUUUAUUUUAUUUUUUUUUAUUAUUAACUUGAGUAUUUCUUAUAUACAUUUCGAGUGUUAUUCCCUUUCCCAGUUUCCAGGCAAACAUUACCUUAACAAGAUCUUUGCUGCACUCUUAUACAUCAGAGGUAAGCCGAUGAGUAUUACUAGUCCUUUUACUUGAAUUAGUGCAAAUUAGCUAAUCUUCUUAAGAAUUUUCAUUUGUUUAAAUUUCUCAGGAUUAUUUGUAUACAAAUCCAAGUAGACUACAGGUAAAGUUCAAGAGUUAUAUAGAGUUUUAUUUUAUUUUUUUCAUAGCUGUCUUUCUUUUUAGAAGGUUUACAGUAAUGGAGACUGUUGCAUCAUGUACAGGGUCUAGUGGGGCCUGCAAAACAAUAGAAUCCUAGUGCUGAAAAGAGAAGUGGACACAAUGCAUAUCUGUAACCCAGAAACUAGAUCCAAUUGAUAAGCACUAGGAAACGAAGAAUUAUUUUUCUCUACCUGAGUCUCAUCUGGGUUUAAAUCACUCUUUAGGGAUGCCCCAUGCCCAUCAGUAGGUGGCCAACGUAAACUCCAUGGCAUCUAUGGAGGUUCUUUGUCUUAUAACACUUCGGGCAUUCUUUCAGUUUCUAACCAUACAGGUAAAUUGAAUAUACAUUAGGGCUUCCGAAUUUGUGUUUUUAUAGGAUUCCUGUGUGUAGAAAUCCAUGUGUCUUGGAAUCUCUAUGAGUUUCUUGUGUUUUUGUUUUUGUUUUCCAUUGGUGGCACUUUUUCUUUUGUUUAUGUUUGUUUUGUCCUGCUUGAUGGGUUUUAUUUUUAUUUUAUUAAAAAGUAUUAGAUGCCAGUUUGUUUUCUAAUACAAGAUUGAAAGGGAGUUGACUUGGAUAUGAAGGGAUGUGGGAAAGUUAGAAGAAAAAAUAAUGAGAAUAUAUUGUAGAAUAUUCAUUUUCAAAAAGGAAAAGGGGACUCAGAGUUAUUGAGAAACUAGAGAAAGAGUGAAAUGUUUUGGAUAUGUAGAUGAUUAAGAGUUAUUCUGUCUUUUCAUAAAUGGAAUCAUUUGAAAGGAAAAAAGGAUAUUUAGUCUAAGAUUUGUCAAAUUUUAUUUUUAUAACAUAAACAAGCAUUAUUUAUCUCUUUGUGGCUUGAGCUGCCCAAUUGAAACCAUUGCCCUAUAAAUAACCCUGUUUUAGAACUUCCUGGUCCUUGUUUACACUUAAUUUUUCAUGGUAAGACCUCAGCUGGAAUACUGAGCUGCUUCUGACUAAGCAUUUAUUCUCAUAAGAAAAUAAGUGCAAAAGCCAUUUUAGGCUAAAUUGUUACCAUAGUCUCAAUUCUUUUCUAAAACCAUGUAAUUGUCAAAAUUAUUAUUUUAUUUACCUUACUAGUUGUACAAUUAGUUGAUAUUCUAAAGGAGAACAAAACAUGUGAGUGAAAGAAAGCAUUAGCAUAUUGCAGGAAUGUUAAUUGUGUGGAAUGUAUCUACUGGAUAUGUGGAAACAAGGGGGAAUGGAAAACGAGGUACUAAUACUGAAAAAUCACGACUUUUUAAGGAGAUGGAAAGGGAAUAUAAGCACUGCCAAUACUGAAGAGGUAAAGUGAAUUUCAGAAUAGAAUAAAGAGACCCAGGACAGAGAACUUUUUAAAAUAAAAGUGUUCUGUAAUACAAAUUCAUCAUUCUACAUAUGCAUGUCUUUCUUCAGAUAAUGUUAUUCAAAUAUAUUAUGUUAUAUUAUAAAAUAUGCUAUAUUAUAUAUGCUAAAAUAACAAAUUUAUAACAAAUUAUCUUUUUAUUUUCCUAUAUUCUAGUUAAUUGUAUUUAAAAUUAAUUUUGUGAAAUUUGUCAUAUUUACUGCUAUUCCUCUCAAACAUCUCCUCUUAUGUCUCCCACAUUGUAUCUGCUUCCCAAUUUCAUGUCUUUUACUGUUGCCUUUGUUCUUUUAGUAACCCACUGAGUCCAAUUAUGGAUGCCACAUGUUAACAGGUGUGAGGCCAUUCAUUCACUGCAGCAUGGAAAGCCUAUGAGAAGGAACACUAUGAAAAAUAAAGGUUUGUUCUGCCCUAGGAGCUAGUAGUGGCAACUUUGUUCUUCAUUAAAGGAUGAAACCUUCAGACUCUUCUCCACACUUUGUCCCUGUAUUUCCUUUAGACAAGAGCAAUUCUGGGUUAAAAAUUUGGAAGUGAGUCUGUGGCUCCAUCCUUCAACCAGGGGCCUAGCCAAACCUCUGGAUGUGGUCUCUACAGGUUCUACCUCCCCUUUGUUGGGCAUUUCAGCUAAUGUCAUCCCUGUUGAGGCCUCAAGCCUCUUGCUUUCCUGGCAUCUGGAAUUUUCCAGUGGCUACCGCCAGUCCCCCAUCUCCCAUUGCUUUAUACCUCUGUUCAAUUUCCUGACCCUUUGUAUAUCAUCCCAUACCUGAUCCUGUCCCCCUUUUCCCUUCCCUCUCCUGUAUUCUCCCAAAGUCCAUUCCACACUCUACUCCUGUGAGUAUUUUCUUCCCCCUUCUAAGAAGGACUGAAGCAUCCACACUUUGGUCUUCCUUCUUCUUGAGCUUCAUAUGGUCUGUGAGUUGUAAAGUGGGUAUUUGGAGCUUUUUGUCUAAUAUCCAGUUAUAGUGAGUACAUACGAUGUGGGCAUUCACUGAAUCUUCCUCUUAGGCUUGUGCUUGUGGAUCAGAUCUAAGCUCUCAGCUGCUGUUUGAGUUACAUGUCUGUAUCUGCCUCCUUCCAUUCUCCCUACUGAUAACUCCUCUUUCCAUAACUGUCCUUGAUACGGUUUGUGAGUUGUAAAGUGGGUAUUCAGAACUUUUUGCCUAAUAUUCACUUAUCAGUGGCUACAUACCAUGUAUGUUCUUUUGUGAUUGGGUUACCUCACUCAGGAUGAUAUUUUCUAGUUCCAUCCAUUUGUCUAUGAAUUUUGUGAAGUCAUUGUUUUUAAUGCUGAGUAGUACUCCAUUGUGUAGAUGCACCAUAUUUUCUGUGUCCAUUCCUCUGUUGAGGGACAUUUGGGUUUUUUCAAAUUUCUGGUCAUUAUAAAUAAAACUGCUAUGAACAUAGUGGAGCAUGUGUUCUUGUUACAUGUUGGAGCAUCUUUUGGGUAUAUGCCCAGGAGUGGUAUAGCUGGGUCCUCAGAUAGUACUAUGUCCGAUUUUCUAACAAACCUCCAGUCUGAUUUCCAGAGUGGUUAUACAAGCUUGCAAUCCCACCAACAAUGGAGGAAUGUUCCUCUUUCUCACAUCCUCGCCAGCAUCUGUUGUCACCUGAGAUUUUGAGUUUGGCUAUUCUGAAUGGUAUGAUGUAGAAUCUUAGGGUUCUUUUAAUUUGCAUUUCCCUGAUGACUAAGGGAGUUGAACAUUUCUUUAGGUGCUUCCCAGCCUUUCAGUAUUCCUCAGCUGGGAAUUCUUUGUUUGGAUGUGUACCCCAUUUUAAAGUAGGAUUAUUAGAUUCUCUGAGGUCUAACUUCUUCAGUUUUUUUUGUAUAGAUUAGAUAUUAGCCGUCUAUCAGAUGUAGGAUGGGUAAGGAUCUUUUCCUUAUCUGUUAGUUGCCAUUAUGUCCUUUGCCUUACAGAGACUUUGAAAUUUUAUGAAGUCCCAUUUGUCAAUUCAUGAUCUUAGAGCAUAAGCCCUUGGUGUUCUGUUCAGCAAAGUUUUCCCUGUGCCCAGGUGUUCAAGAUUCUCUCCCACUUUCUCUUCUAUUAGUUUCAGUGUAUCUGCUUUUACAUGGAAGUCCUUGAUCUACUUGGACUUGAGCUUUGUACAAGGCAGUAAGAAUGGAGGAUCAAUUAGCCUUCUUCCACAAGUUGACUGAUAGUUGAACUAGCACCAUUUGUUGAAAAUGUUGUCUUUUUUUCCACUGGAUGAUUUUAGCUCCUUCGUCAAAGAUAAAGUGACCAUAGGUGUGUGGGUUCAUUUCUGGGUCUUCAAUUCUAUUCCACUGAUCUACCUGCCUGUCUAUGUACCAAUACCAUGCAGUUUUUAUCACAAUUGCUCUGUAAUACAGCUUGAGGUCAGGGGUGUUGAUUCCUACAGAAUUUCUUUUAUUGUUGAGAAUAAUUUUCUCUACCCUGGGUUUUUUGUUAUUUCAAAUGAAUUUGCAAAUUGAUUUUUCUAACUCUACAAAGAAUUGAGUUGGAAUUUUGAUGGAAAUUGCAUUGAACCUGUAGAUUACUUUCAGCAAGAUGGCCAUUUUUACAAUAUUAAUCCUGCCAAUCUCUAAGCAUGGAAGAUCUUUGCAUCUUCUGUGAUCUUCUUCAAUUUUUUUCUCCAGAAACUUGAAGUUCAAAAUUAUGAUAUCUGUAGUAUGUACAAAUUGAAUUCUGCUUGUUCUACUAAGAUCAUAGAUCUGGCACUGAAAUUGGCACAGUCCUGAAUUCUCAAAAUUUUGGCAGGAAGAAUCAGUGGUUUUAUAAGAAUUGAGUUCUAAAUGAAGUGUCAGAACCCAAGUUCCAAUGAUGGGCACAUGACACAUACCUCCCUUUAAACAGAUUUAUGAGAGAAAGUCAAGGGCACAUUCCAAAUUUCAAAGUCUUUGUAAUGAAAGGAACUGAAGGAUGUAUUGUUGUUCUAUAGAAAAUCCAAUAUUUUAUUCUUUUAAUAAAAAUAGGAAAGCAAUACUUCACAGUUUAAUGUUUCACUAAAUAGAUAUUUAGUGUAUUCUAGUAACAUAAAAAUAAUGAAAUAAUAUGCCUAGACAGAUUUUUCUACUACUUUAAUUUUUUCCCAUUUCACUAAAUUUCAGAUUAUAGCAUGAUUCCAUGAUAACACAUACCACAUAAACAACAACCCAUUGUGUUAAUAGGAUAAUAGGAAACCUCUAAUACGAUUUUCAUAAGAACUGCAUGAAAAAUUCAAUAAUUAUUUUUGGUAGACCUAAAAAUGUUAUAGAUUAAGUAAAAUUUAAUUGAAUACAAAUAUUAUCAGCAUUUAUUUAUAAACCAGUAUAAAUAGAAUGAAAAUAUAUACUAUGCACUGUGUCCUCUAGAUUACAUUAACUAGUAAAGUUGUGUCACUAGUUAAAACAGAAAGAUUAGUAAAUGAUUUGACUUAGAGAUGUUUAGAUAUCAUGACACAAAAAUGAGAAACUAAGAAUUCAGUUUCCUAUACUACUGAGAAUUCAACUAUUUUUUCUAUGAAUGCCUGUCUAUUUAAACUUAAAUAGGCUAAAAUUCUUUUCAUAGAAUAUACAUUUUCAUCAAUAUCUACUGUCAUUUACUUUCAUAUUCUCAACAUGAAUUAUAAAAUAAAACAAAAUUGCAUUUUCUGCCUUGUUUAAUUUAUAAAUACCUUAAAUACAAUUUCUUCAAAGUCUUACAUAAUUAACUCAUUUCACAGACAUCACAAAUACAAUAGUUAUAAAUCAGGAAAGAAAGAAAUUACUUUUGUACAAAGAAGCUAGACUUUGCAUUAUGGUUAAAAUUAAUUUAUAUAUUACUCUACAUGUCAUCAUUUUGAACACUGACAUACUAAAAAUGGAAUAAAUAAUGGAUAAGUGUUUGAUAAGUAGAUAAUCAAGGAACUAGCUCAUAGAUAUACACAUGGGCAUUUCUCUCAGUUUGCUCCUUAGAUAAAAUAAACUAUGCCUACUCCAAAUAUUUAUUUGUGAAUGUUCUUCUCUCAUUUGUUCUAAAUAAAACUAACCUCAUAUUUGUAAAUCUGGAAUUUUCUAUGUUGAUUUUCCAAUUUAAAUAAAAACAAUGUGACAUUAAUUUGUACCAGAAAAGUUAUAUUUGCCUUCUUUAUGAGAGAGAGAGAGAGAGAGAGAGAGAGAGAGAGAGAGAGAGAGAGAGAGA